rnacentral:rRNA from 1 species
UACGAAGGGGGCUAGCGUUGUUCGGAUUUACUGGGCGUAAAGCGCACGUAGGCGGCUUGUUAAGUGAGGGGUGAAAUCCUGGAGCUCAACUCCAGAACUGCCUUUCAUACUGGCAAGCUAGAGUCCGGAAGAGGUGAGUGGAACUCCUAGUGUAGAGGUGGAACUCGUAGAUAUUAGGAAGAACACCAGUGGCGAAGGCGGCUCACUGGUCCGGUACUGACGCUGAGGUGCGAAAGCGUGGGGAGCAAACAGG